rnacentral:rRNA from 1 species
GAUGAACGCUGGCGGCGUGCCUAAUACAUGCAAGUCGAGCGAACGGACGAGAAGCUUGCUUCUCUGAUGUUAGCGGCGGACGGGUGAGUAACACGUGGAUAACCUACCUAUAAGACUGGGAUAACUUCGGGAAACCGGAGCUAAUACCGGAUGAUAUUUUGAACCGCAUGGUUCAAAAGUGAAAGACGGUCUUGCUGUCACUUAUAGAUGGAUCCGCGCUGCAUUAGCUAGUUGGUAAGGUAACGGCUUACCAAGGCAACGAUGCAUAGCCGACCUGAGAGGCUGAUCGGCCACACUGGAGCUGAGACACGGUCCUGACUCCUACGGGAGGCAGCAGUAGGGAAUCUUCCGCAAUGGGCGAAAGCCUGACGGAGCAACGCCGCGUGAGUGAUGAAGGUCUUCGGAUCGUAAAACUCUGUUAUUAGGGAAGAACAUAUGUGUAAGUAACUGUGCACAUCUUGACGGUACCUAAUCAGAAAGCCACGGCUAACUACGUG